rnacentral:rRNA from 1 species
GACGUACGCUGGCGGCGUGCUUAACACAUGCAAGUCGAACGGUAAGGCCCUUCGGGGUACACGAGUGGCGAACGGGUGAGUAACACGUGGGUGAUCUGCCCUGCACUUCGGGAUAAGCCUGGGAAACUGGGUCUAAUACCGGAUAGGACCACUGCCCGCAUGGGCGGUGGUGGAAAGCUUUUGCGGUGUGGGAUGGGGCCGCGGCCUAUCGGCUUGUUGGUGGGGUGAUGGCCUACCAAGGCGACGACGGGUAGCCGGCCUGGUAGGGGGACCGGCCCGACUGGGACUGAGAGACGGCCCAGACUCCGACGGGGGGCAGCAGUGGGGAAUAUUGCCCAAUGGGCGCAAGCCUGAUGCAGCGACGCCGCGUGAGGGAUGACGGCCUUCGGGUUGUAAACCUCUUUCAGCACCGACGAAGCGCAAGUGACGGUAGGUGCAGAAGAAGGACCGGCCGACUACGUGCCAGCCGCCGCCGUAA